rnacentral:rRNA from 1 species
UACGUAGGUGGCAAGCGUUGUCCGGAAUUAUUGGGCGUAAAGCGCGCGCAGGCGGUUUCUUAAGUCUGAUGUGAAAGCCCCCGGCUCAACCGGGGAGGGUCAUUGGAAACUGGGAAACUUGAGUGCAGAAGAGGAAAGUGGAAUUCCAAGUGUAGCGGUGAAAUGCGUAGAGAUUUGGAGGAACACCAGUGGCGAAGGCGACUUUCUGGUCUGUAACUGACUGCGUGAG